CAGUAGCCGCGGUAAUACGAAGGGUGCAAGCGUUAAUCGGAAUUACUGGGCGUAAAGCGUGCGUAGGCGGUGAGUUAAGUCUGCUGUGAAAUCCCCGGGCUCAACCUGGGAAUGGCAGUGGAUACUGGCUCGCUAGAGUGUGUCAGAGGAUGGUGGAAUUCCCGGUGUAGCGGUGAAAUGCGUAGAGAUCUGGAGGAACAUCAGUGGCGAAGGCGGCCAUCUGGGACAACACUGACGCUGAGGCACGAAAGCGUGGGGAGCAAACAGGAUUAGAUACCCCGGUAGUCCCUGUCUCUUAUAC
rnacentral:rRNA from 1 species